rnacentral:rRNA from 1 species
CCUACGGGUGGCAACAGUGAGGAAUAUUGGUCAAUGGCCGAGAGGCUGAACCAGCCAAGUCGCGUGAGGGAUGACGGCCCUACGGGUUGUAAACCGCUUUUGUCGGGGAGUAACGAGCCGUACGUGUACCGCUUUGAGAGUACCCGGUGAAAAAGCACCGGCUAAUUCCGUGCCAGCAGCCGCGGUAAUACGGAGGAUGCGGGCGUUAUCCGGAUUUAUUGGGGUUAAAGGGGGCGCAGGCCGGAUGUCAAGCGAGCGGUUAAAUGUGAGGGCUCAACCCGUGCCCGGCCGUGGAAACGGGGUUGCUUGAGUGGGCGAGAAGCAGGCGGAAUGCGUGGUGUAGCGGUGAAAUGCAUAGAUAUGACGAAGAACCCCGAUUGCGAAGGCAGCGUGCUGGAGCGCAACUGACGCUGAUGCACGAAAGCGUGGGUAUCGAACAGGAUUAGAUACCCGUGUAGUC